UUGAUUUAUUUUAGUUUUUUACUCAGAUGAUAUUACAAAAACAAGAGUUUAUAGGGCCACCGGCCGGUCUGCUCCUUCCCCUAGGGGAAGGGACCUGCAAAGAGGCCAACCAAUGCCGAGGCAACAUUUUUUAGGUAGUAUUCACAAAGGGUUUCUGGGUAGCACCCGUGAGGGCGUUUGUUCCAGCAAUGAUCCCUCCGCUGGUUCACCAACGGAGA
rnacentral:misc_RNA from 1 species